rnacentral:rRNA from 1 species
CAGCAGUCGCCGCGGGAAUACGUAGGGUGCAAGCGUUAAUCGGAAUUACUGGGCGUAAAGCGUGCGCAGGCGGUUAUAUAAGACAGAUGUGAAAUCCCCGGGCUCAACCUGGGAACUGCAUUUGUGACUGUAUAGCUAGAGUACGGCAGAGGGGGAUGGAAUUCCGCGUGUAGCAGUGAAAUGCGUAGAUAUGCGGAGGAACACCGAUGGCGAAGGCAAUCCCCUGGGCCUGUACUGACGCUCAUGCACGAAAGCGUGGGGAGCAAACAGGAUUAGAUACCCGAGUAGUCCCUGUCUCUUAUAU